UACGAAGGGGGCUAGCGUUGUUCGGAUUUACUGGGCGUAAAGCGCGUGUAGGCGGGCUGGAAAGUUGGGGGUGAAAUCCCGAGGCUCAACCUCGGAACUGCCUCCAAAACUUCCAGCCUGGAGCAAGAUAGAGGUAAGUGGAACUGCGAGUGUAGAGGUGAAAUUCGUAGAUAUUCGCAAGAACACCAGUGGCGAAGGCGGCUUACUGGUCCGGUUCUGACGCUGAGGCGCGAAAGCGUGGGGAGCAAACAGG
rnacentral:rRNA from 1 species